GUAUGGUAUGUUGUUAUAAGGGGCAUAUGUAGCCCUAUGAACAUUAUACGGAAUAAUGCGUUAGCUUUAAUGUUUUAGGGGUUGUGAAAAUACUGAUUUGGCUUUGGAUACCUUUUGAAAUGGGGUUGGUGGAUGGAUAGAUAGCUGGAUAGAUGGAUAGAUAGAUGGAUGGAUAGAUGGAUAGGUAGGUAGAUGGAUGGAUAGAUAGAUAGGUAGGUAGGUAGGUAGGUAGGUAGGUAGAUGGAUGGCUGGAUAGAUAGAUGGAUAGAUAGAUGGAUGGAUGGAAGGAUAGAUGGAUGGAUAGAUAGAUGGAUGGAUAGAUAGGUAGAUGGAUGGUUGGAUAGAUAGCUGGAUAUAUGGAUGGAUGGAUGGAUGGAUGGAUAGAUAGAUAUCUAGAUGGAUGGCUGGAUAGAUAGAUGGAUGGAUGGAUAGGUAGAUCGAUAGAUAGAUAGAUAGCUGGAUAGAUGGAUAGAUAUAUGGAUAGAUGGAUGGAUAGAUAGAUAGGUAGAUGGAUGGCUGGAUAGAUAGCUGGAUAUAUGGAUGGAUGGAUGAUGGAUAGAUAGAUAGGUAGAUGGAUGGCUGGAUAGAUAGCUGGAUGACUGGAUAGAUAGCUGGAUAGAUGGAUAGAUAGAUGGAUGGAUGGCUGGAUAGAUAGCUGGAUAGAUGGAUGGAUAGAUAUAGAUAUAUGGAUAGAUAGAUGGAUGGAUACAUGGAUAGGUAGAUAGGUAGAUGGAUAGCUGGAUAGAUAGCUGGAUAUAUGGAUGGAUGGAUG
ensembl:lncRNA